GACGAACGCUGGCGGCGCGCCUAACACAUGCAAGUCGAACGGAGGUGCGAGAAGCUUGCUUUUCUUAGCUUAGUGGCGGACGGGUGAGUAACACGUGGGUAACCUGCCUUGGAGUGGGGGACAACAGUUGGAAACGACUGCUAAUACCGCAUAAGCUCACGAUCCGGAUGCGGCUAGAGGGAAAAGGAUUUAUUCGCUUCAGUAUGGAUUCGCGUCCACUUAGCUAGUUGGUUGGGUAACGGCCCACCAAGGCGACGAUUGGUAGCCGGACUGAGAGGUUGAGCCGCGACACUGGGACUGAGACACGGCCCAGACUCCUACGGGAGGCAGCAGUGGGGGAUAUUGCACCAUGGCGGAAACCCUGAUGCAGCUACGCCGCGUGGAGUAAGAAGGUUGUCGGAUUGUAAACUCCUGUCGUCAGUGACGAUAAUGACGGUACCUAACAAGAAAGCCCCGGCUAACUACGUG
rnacentral:rRNA from 1 species